rnacentral:rRNA from 1 species
AUUGAACGCUGGCGGCAGGCCUAACACAUGCAAGUCGAACGGUAACAGGAAGCAGCUUGCUGCUUUGCUGACGAGUGGCGGACGGGUGAGUAAUGUCUGGGGAUCUGCCCGAUGGAGGGGGAUAACCACUGGAAACGGUGGCUAAUACCGCAUAACGUCGCAAGACCAAAGUGGGGGACCUUCGGGCCUCACACCAUCGGAUGAACCCAGAUGGGAUUAGCUAGUAGGUGGGGUAACGGCUCACCUAGGCGACGAUCCCUAGCUGGUCUGAGAGGAUGACCAGCCACACUGGAACUGAGACACGGUCCAGACUCCUACGGGAGGCAGCAGUGGGGAAUAUUGCACAAUGGGCGCAAGCCUGAUGCAGCCAUGCCGCGUGUAUGAAGAAGGCCUUCGGGUUGUAAAGUACUUUCAGCGGGGAGGAAGGGAUGGCGCUUAAUACGCGCCGUCAUUGACGUUACCCGCAGAAGAAGCACCGGCUAACUCCGUGCCAGCAGCCGCGGUAAUACGGAGGGUGCAAGCGUUAAUCGGAAUUACUGGGCGUAAAGCGCACGCAGGCGGUCUGUUAAGUCAGAUGUGAAAUCUCCGGGCUUAACCUGGGAACUGCAUUUGAAACUGGCAGGCUUGAGUCUCGUAGAGGGGGGUAGAAUUCCAGGUGUAGCGGUGAAAUGCGUAGAGAUCUGGAGGAAUACCGGUGGCGAAGGCGGCCCCCUGGACGAAGACUGACGCUCAGGUGCGAAAGCGUGGGGAGCGAACAGGAUUAGAUACCCUGGUAGUCCACGCCGUAAACGAUGUCGACUUGGAGGCUGUUCCCUUGAGGAGUGGCUUCCGGAGCUAACGCGUUAAGUCGACCGCCUGGGGAGUACGGCCGCAAGGUUAAAACUCAAAUGAAUUGACGGGGGCCCGCACAAGCGGUGGAGCAUGUGGUUUAAUUCGAUGCAACGCGAAGAACCUUACCUGGUCUUGACAUCCACGGAAUUCGGCAGAGAUGCCCUAGUGCCUUCGGGAACCGUGAGACAGGUGCUGCAUGGCUGUCGUCAGCUCGUGUUGUGAAAUGUUGGGUUAAGUCCCGCAACGAGCGCAACCCUUAUCCUUUGUUGCCAGCGCGUGAUGGCGGGAACUCAAAGGAGACUGCCGGUGAUAAACCGGAGGAAGGUGGGGAUGACGUCAAGUCAUCAUGGCCCUUACGACCAGGGCUACACACGUGCUACAAUGGCGCAUACAAAGAGAAGCGACCUCGCGAGAGCAAGCGGACCUCAUAAAGUGCGUCGUAGUCCGGAUUGGAGUCUGCAACUCGACUCCAUGAAGUCGGAAUCGCUAGUAAUCGUGGAUCAGAAUGCCACGGUGAAUACGUUCCCGGGCCU